rnacentral:tRNA from 1 species
GCGCUGUGGCUCAGUGACAGAGCAUCUGCUUAGCAUGCAGGAUAUCCAAGGUUCAAUUCCCAGCAGCUCCA